AUUCAAAAGUCUGUCACACUCGUUCUGUCCAAAAGAGAUUGCAGGAACAGUUACAUAUCGCACGUAAAGGGGCUUUCCGAUACUACUUUUUUCUGUUUAGACGGUGAAUGCGGAACGUCUAGUCUCAAACUUUCUCCUUCAGUUAUAUUCGAUUGGCAACUCGGUAAGAUGUCAGACAACAUCCAUUGCCUACCAUUAGGCGCCUUGAACAAAACAGAAGACAGCAAACAGCUGAUUUUAUUUGUCAACAUCGGUACAACAACGCGGGUUCAUUUUAAAUUUUAACUUUAAUUUAUAAAUAAAAGUUUUGUGGGACCUUCAUUAGUCAACAACAAUGAAUCGGCGAAUUGAACGUGCUCCGGGACGCUUCGUCCGAGGCCGGGCACAUGGAGGAGGCGCUUAUCGUCCGUACUUUUAUUUUCGUCGCAACGGUCGGACAAUACCAGCUGGUGGCCGGGGAGAUUGUCAGGCAGCAGGAAGCGCACCGAGAGGUGGCGGUUGGCGUGGACGUCGUCGUGGAUCACAGCGUAACGAUAAUUCCUUGACACAUCCACCAGACAUCCGCUUAGAUUCGUCGUUCCUGCGACCUGAAUGUUAUGCAGCGCCGGAAGAUGCUCAACAUAUGGCACAAAGCAUUGCAGUUAAUAUGCCCCUACAAUGUCCCGGUUGGCAUAUGUACUUUCAACAAGAGCCGUACAAGGAGGCAUCGGAAGUAGCCGUACGAAUUAAGUCAGUGGAAGAUUACUAUAAUCGACAAGAAGCGCUUUAUGAUUUGAAGCAAAUACAAUUUGCAAAGUGCUUUAAGUUGGAGGAGAAUAAAGUUACUGCGGAUGAAUUACUUAUGAAAGCGUGGCCACAUUUGAAACAAGAUAUGUUGGCGCAUACGCACCGCACAUUGGCAACAUUCGGCGUCGCUAUGCACAAAGUAGUGACAUUGGCAACGGUGGAUCAUUUGUCGAGUCAACGAGCGUGUAGCAAAGAUGUCUACGUGCCGCGCUGCACUCUACCACGAAAGAUAUACGUGAGACCAGUGGGUUUUCAAGAACUUAGUUUAAUAUCUGAUGUGGAUACUUCGGUUGUGGAUAGUAUGUGCAGAGUACGCGGCGUAGUGUCUGCUAUAGGGCCAGUAGAAGCGAGCGCCUCUUGGAUAGCUUUCAAAUGUUCGCGAUGCGGGCAGGAGCAAACGCUAAAGCAAAGUGGAUUCUAUACUUCGCGCCCAUAUAACUGCAAGCGCGAAGGAUGCAUAGCAAAGAAGAAUUUUAUAGAGCAACGAUCAUCUCCUUUUACUCGCAUCACUCCUUUGCAAAUAAUACAACUUCAAGAGAACAAUUUACAGUCGCCUGGCGACUCUGAAAUGGGAAAUCAAAAAACCUUAGAUAUCGAACUAAGAUAUGACUUAGUUGAUACUCUCGUAUCUGGGCAAGAUGUAAUCAUAACGGGUAUACUUAAAAUGCAUUCAUUAAUCGACGAACAAAAUACAUAUCCCAAUUCCGCUGAGCCUGCGUGUAAAAUCUAUAUGAAAGCAGCCUCCAUAAUAGAUGCAAAGAAGUUGGGCCACAACUUUACUCAACGUGAUCUCGACGCAAUUUCAAUGAUAAACUCAGAACCAGACAGUUUUAAGCUUCUGGCACAUUCCGUGGCGCCAGAGCUGCAUGGCGAAGAGUUGGUGAAAGCAGGUGUGUUACUAUCACUUUUUGGUGGUGCUGGCUCACAAAUACACAAUGAUUCAGAGAUUAAUGUGCUAUUGGUUGGCGAUCCGGGCAUUGGCAAAUCACAUUUACUAGAAAUGAGUGCAAAAGUUUCGCAGAGAGGUACGCUGCUCAGGGGCAAACGUUGUUCGCCUUCUACGCAAUCAUUAACCACAACGCUUCAAGGCCGCACAAAUCACAUUGUCAACUCUGGCGCGCUUAUUACUUCCAAAACUGGCCAUUGUGCAAUCGAUGAUCUUGAUCGUUUAGCUUCACAGCAAGACAUUCUAUUGCAAUUGAUGCAAUGUAAAACUGUUUCAUUACCAUUGCCUAAUAUAUAUACAACUAUUGCGAUGCCCACGUCCGUUAUUGCUGCUGCCAACUCACUGCGUGGUCAUUACGAUCGUUCACGGCUACUGACAGAAAAUACACGUUUGAACAAUUCAUUGCUGCAGCAAUUUCACUUAAUAUUUUUGCUAUUAGAUAAGUCUAAUAAAGAUUUGGAUACGUCUUUAACGGAACACAUCAAAGCAAUGCAUGAUGGCGUAAAGAAAAGCUCUGCGAUUGCUUCACGGUUCGCUAUGAAACCAAAAGGAAAUAAUUCAAUGAAUAUUACCAUCAGCGAUGAUGAACUGGACGAUGACAAUUAUGAUUUGAGUGAUCGUUUAAAAUUAAAAUAUAUAGAAUUUGAAGAGGAGAAAUUGGAUUUACUGCCACCAAUAUUAUUGAAGAAGUUUAUCGCAUAUGCUCGCCAACAUAUGCGUCCAUUAUUAAGUGAUGAGUCUGCCGAAACUUUAAAAUCCUUUCAUAUGGGUUUGCGAGAGAAAGGAGAUGAAGAAAAUCGUUGCACUGUGAGUACAAGAUGUGAAAAAUGCAGAAGAAAUUGACGACCAAGUCGAAACGGACUUGCUGUAUGAUAGUUGCACGGAUAAAAUAAUAAUCACCUCGAGGGUCUCAUCCGACUCUCACAAGCCCGUGCGCGCAUUGAUUUCUCGGCGGAAGUGACGAAAGCGCAUAUACGCGA
rnacentral:misc_RNA from 1 species